ACGGGUGCGUAACACGUGGGAAUAUACCUUUCGGUACGGAACAACUGAGGGAAACUUCAGCUAAUACCGUAUACGUCCUAACGGAGAAAGAUUUAUCGCCGAAGGAUUAGCCCGCGUUCGAUUAGCUAGUUGGUGAGGUAAUGGCUCACCAAGGCAACGAUCGAUAGCUGUUCUGAGAGGAAGAUCACCCACACUGGGACUGAGACACGGCCCACACUCCUACGGGAGGCAGCAGUUGGGAAUCUUGGACAAUGGGGGAAACCCUGAUCCAGCCAUGCCGCGUGAGUGAUGAAGGCCUUCGGGUUGUAAAACUCUUUCGACGGGGACGAUAAUGACGGUACCCGUAAAACAAGCUCCGGCUAACUUCCUGCCACCAGCCGCGGUAAUACGAAGGGGGCUAGCGUUGUUCGGAAUUACUGGGCGUAAAGCGCGCGCAGGCGGUUCUCCAAGUCAGUGGUGAAAGCCCGGAGCUCAACUCCGGAACUGCCAUUGAAACUGUUGAACUUGAGGACGAGAGAGGUGAGUGGAAUUCCCAGUGUAUAGGUGAAAUUCAUAUA
rnacentral:rRNA from 1 species